rnacentral:RNase_P_RNA from 1 species
AAUAACCGCCGGACUCGUCCGGUAAGGGUGAAAAGGUGAGGUAAGAGCUCACCGGGUCCCGUAGCGAUACGGGAUGCCGUACGUCUUAUGGGUUGUAAGGUCAUGUAUACCGGCGCAUGUAGGAUGGCUCGUCCGAUGCCGGGGGGUAGACCGCUAAAGCUUACCGGCGACGGUAAGACAAGAUAAAUGGCAGGCGCCUCUUUCCAAAGAGGUACAGGACCCGGCUUAUAGGCAGACUGCUUUU